rnacentral:rRNA from 1 species
CCUACGGGAGGCAGCAGUGGGGAAUAUUGGACAAUGGGGGCAACCCUGAUCCAGCCAUGCCGCGUGUGUGAAGAAGGCCCUCGGGUUGUAAAGCACUUUCAGUGAGGAAGAACGCCUGGUGGUUAAUACCCAUCAGGAAAGACAUCACUCACAGAAGAAGCACCGGCUAACUCCGUGCCAGCAGCCGCGGUAAUACGGAGGGUGCGAGCGUUAAUCGGAAUUACUGGGCGUAAAGCGCGCGUAGGUGGCUUGAUAAGCCGGUUGUGAAAGCCCCGGGCUCAACCUGGGAACGGCAUCCGGAACUGUCAAGCUAGAGUGCAGGAGAGGAAGGUAGAAUUCCCGGUGUAGCGGUGAAAGGCGUAGAGAUCGGGAGGAAUACCAGUGGCGAAGGCGGCCUUCUGGACUGACACUGACACUGAGGUGCGAAAGCGUGGGUAGCAAACAGGAUUAGAUACCCCGGUAGUC